GUCAGAUAUAAUUUAGCAACUAAACAACAAUUGUUUCCUUCACAUAAUAAACACAAUGAUUCAGAUAUAAGAAAGAAGCAAGGAAAGAACUGAAGAGAAUGUCAAAUUCAAAACAUUCAACUAAAUAUAAAUUGAUUGUGCAUUUUGCAAAUUCUUUCCCUUCACACCUCCUUUUGUAAAGUAAAAUCUGCCAUUUAUAGAACAUAUUCCCCGUAGAAAUACACUACAGAAAACUGAUCCAAUACAGGAGAGUUUUGUCAAAUACUUUCCUUCAAUAGAUGCUUUAAUUUGCUGAGGAAUAUAUGAUUGAUCUUAAUUUAUCUGUUUCGGGAACCCACCAAGACUUUUGGCAACAGCAUUUCUUCUUACCCUUCUCCUGCUAUUGAAAUAUAGCUGUUCUUUCUAAUAAUUGUCAUGGGGUUUAGGAGAAAAGAGGGGGAUUAUUUAUACAAGUGAAGGUUUUAGAAUCUUGAGCCCAGCCCACUUUGGAUCAAGAGGGCCUGUGUGGUGACACAUGGUCUGUUUUCAUUGGCCAAAGUCCUAAGACAUUCUAUCAGGCUCCUGGGCAUCACUGCCUUGAAGGGCUCAGAGUGGCUGAAUUAGUUUCAGGAUCUUUGGAAGCACUACCAUGGCUAGCUCUGUCCACUGGUUCUCCAGCCCUGGCUCAUCUGCAUUAGGGUUAGAUCUGAAAUGUCAGGAAAAACACAAGACCCAUCUGUUCCGCUGGAAGCUGACUUAACUAGUUCAGACCACCUCUGUUCAAAAUGAGAGUAACCUGGGGGUCCUCCUUAACUUGUAAGGGCAAUAAAUCUCCCACUGUAUUUUUCCUGCUUGUUGCCUCUUUUUAAAAAAAUUUUUGCCAUUCUAAAUACUGAUUCCUCAGUACAAGGUUGCAAAAAGUUUUGGAUUGUCACUCACUUGGGUUGUCCUUCUAGUUUGUGAAUCAGAAGGAUUGGGUUGAAGGCUUUCACAGGCAACAUCAUAACAGAGUAGCCUGAAAAAAAAAUUGCCCUCCCACAUCACCUCUGACAGAGAGAGAAAGGAAUGCUUCAGAGACUCUCUUGGCAGAAUAUCUUACUUUUGAAACCACCUCAAUCUGAUUUUGCUCCUUUGGGUAGCCAUUGUCUCUCUUCUGACCAUAUGGAUAAUGAGUCUGAAAAAAUUGAUUUUUAACUUGGAUUUCCCUUUAAGCCAUUUUUCAGAAUCUGAGGAUCACCGGAUAUUCGAGUUCAACACAACCCCUGCUCUCAAACAGAAUUGUAUACAGAAGUCUGAGACGUAGCUCACACAGAGGAGAAUGAGUCCUGCUGCUGCUGCCUGUCGUGGGCAGAACCAAGGAAUCAUUUCAGCAAACAGUUGCAAACACAGUUGUCUCACAGUUUCUGAACCUCCGGCGUGAACUCCACAAGUAAGCCAGCUGCCUCACACUCCCCGACCACUGGACUUGAAAGCAAUGAGGCAAAGAUGGCAAACGGUUCAGCACAACAUCACCAGCCAUGAGUUCAAUGAAAAACACUCAUCACUCUGCGAAUGAGUCGGAGGUAGCAUCAUUUUUCUAUUAAUAAAGGGACACAUCAUCAUCACCUUCUCAUCAGAAGAAUCCCCCAUUGCUCCUGUCCACUCUAAGUAUGUUCAGGGACCUGGAAGUCACAUCAUCUCAGAGAUGACCUAAGUCCAUGGCAUGUGGGCUUUCAGCUCCCUGACUAGCGAAGGAACCUGCAGUCCCUGCAUGGGAAGGAGAAGUCUUAACCACUGGACCUGUCAGGGGAGUUCCCUUCUUAAAUUUUCUGAGACUUGAAUUUAUCUAGAUCAUCAGGGAUUAUAAUAAUUAUCUCAUGGGACUGUAAGGAGGAGUAAAUGACAUGAUGGAUACAAAACACUCUGCGCAAUGCCUCGUACACUGUGUUCAGUAUAUCCUCGU